rnacentral:rRNA from 1 species
GACGAACGCUGGCGGCGUGUUUAACACAUGCAAGUCGAACGGAAAGGCCCUGCUUUUGUGGGGUGCUCGAGUGGCGAACGGGUGAGUAACACGUGAGUAACCUGCCCUUGACUUUGGGAUAACUUCAGGAAACUGGGGCUAAUACCGGAUAGGAGCUCCUGCUGCAUGGUGGGGGUUGGAAAGUUUCGGCGGUUGGGGAUGGACUCGCGGCUUAUCAGCUUGUUGGUGGGGUAGUGGCUUACCAAGGCUUUGACGGGUAGCCGGCCUGAGAGGGUGACCGGCCACAUUGGGACUGAGAGACGGCCCAGACUCCUACGGGAGGCAGCAGUGGGGAAUAUUGCACAAUGGGCGGAAGCCUGAUGCAGCAACGCCGCGUGCGGGAUGACGGCCUUCGGGUUGUAAACCGCUUUCGCCUGUGACGAAGCGUGAGUGACGGUAAUGGGUAAAGAAGCACCGGCUAACUACGUG